rnacentral:rRNA from 1 species
AGAGUUUGAUCCUGGCUCAGAAUCAACGCUGGCGGCGUGCCUCAGACAUGCAAGUCGAACGCGAAAGUCCCCUUCGGGGGACGAGUAGAGUGGCGCACGGGUGAGUAACACGUAGGUAAUCUACCUUUGGAUGGGGAAUAACAACCGGAAACGGUUGCUAAUACCGCAUAAUGCAGCGGCACCUAAUGGUGACAGUUGUUAAAGCGGGGGAUCGCAAGACCUCGCGUCUAAAGAGGAGCCUGCGGCGGAUUAGCUAGUUGGUAAGGUAAUGGCUUACCAAGGCUACGAUCCGUAACCGGCCUGAGAGGGCGGUCGGUCACACUGACACUGACAUACGGGUCAGACUCCUACGGGAGGCAGCAGUCGGGAAUUUUGGGCAAUGGGCGAAAGCCUGACCCAGCAACGCCGCGUGAAGGAUGAAAUCCCUCGGGAUGUAAACUUCGCAAGAACGGGAAGAAUAAGUAGGGGACAAUACCCCCUACGAUGACGGUACCGUUUGUAAGCUCCGGCUAACUCCGUGCCAGCAGCCGCGGUAAUACGGGGGGAGCAAGCGUUGUUCGGAUUUACUGGGCGUAAAGGGCGCGUAGGCGGUCAGCACAAGUCAGUUGUGAAAUCUCCGAGCUUAACUCGGAAAGGUCAACUGAUACUGUGCGACUAGAGUGCAGAAGGGGCAACUGGAAUUCUCGGUGUAGCGGUGAAAUGCGUAGAUAUCGAGAGGAACACCUGCGGCGAAGGCGGGUUGCUGGGCUGACACUGACGCUGAGGCGCGAAAGCUAGGGGAGCGAACGGGAUUAGAUACCCCAGUAGUCC